rnacentral:misc_RNA from 1 species
AAGGGACAGUAUCUUUUGACGAGCCUCAAGUCUAGCAGGCUGACAUUUGAUAUGAUUUUGGAAAGGAGGUGGGUGAAGCCAAAAAAAAAACACAUUGAACUAAGCCAGUCCAGUCCAGCUGGUUAAAAGGAAAUAAACAAGCUCAAGGCUAGAAAAUGUUCAAAAAGAUGCAAUGACAAACAGACCAAGGAAACUAAGAGCAUCCACACAAUCACAACUAAAUAAAUGAGAAAAGGCAGAAAAGCCAUGAGAACACGAUCAAUCUUCAGGCUCAUCAACUUCUGGGGUCUCAACUUCAGCAGUCUCUUGCUCAGCUUCCUGCACCUCCUUCUCUGUCUUCUUUCCUUUCUUAGACUUAUAGUACACACUCAUGAAGGUUCCGAUGGCUCUAUACUUUUUCCUGCAGUUCUCAUAUAGGCUUCCAUCAAACAUUCUCCAGAAGUUCUUCUCCGUCAGCUCAGAGACAGCAUACUGUGGCUGGAAUCCAUGGUUCUCAAUCAACCAACUCUCCAACUUACGGACUGCCUCUAUACCAUCAAAGACCUCACCCCUCAAAAUAGGUCCAGGAGCAUAGUAGACACCAACAUCAGUGUACAUUUGAGCAUAUUUUGUGUCACCCUGCCUCUUCUGCAGCUCAAAACCUGGUUCAGGAUACACCAUUGUUUUAAGAGGCAGCCUGUAGAGUCUGUGGGGGCAGAGCCAGAGGGGAUACACCUCCAUCUCACGGUGGACCCACUCAAGAGCAUCACCAACCUUGUAGAGAGGAACAAGCAUAUCCUGAAUG